rnacentral:lncRNA from 1 species
CUGCAUCAAUGCCUUUCCCUGCUCGAUCAGAAUACAACGCUGGAGGAUGCCGGUGUGGCUCCGCUUAUAGAGCUCUUGGUCGAUGAUGAUGAAGGAUUUGGCUCAGCAUGCAAUCCUUCGCGCCUCCAUCUUGUCCGUUGGGAGCGACUCACGGAUGAGGUAAUCGAGGUACGGGGUUCUCCAGUCAGGCGGGGGGCCCCGCCUCCAUGAUCUCGG